rnacentral:tRNA from 1 species
GGGCCAUUAGCUCAGUUGGUCAGAGCUACCGGCUCAUAACCGGUCGGUCCUGGGUUCGAGUCCCCGAUGGCCCACCA